CUAUCAUGCAAGUCGAGCGGACAGAUGGGAGCUUGCUCCCUGAUGUUAGCGGCGGACGGGUGAGUAACACGUGGGUAACCUGCCUGUAAGACUGGGAUAACUCCGGGAAACCGGGGCUAAUACCGGAUGGUUGUUUGAACCGCAUGGUUCAAACAUAAAAGGUGGCUUCGGCUACCACUUACAGAUGGACCCGCGGCGCAUUAGCUAGUUGGUGAGGUAACGGCUCACCAAGGCAACGAUGCGUAGCCGACCUGAGAGGGUGAUCGGCCACACUGGGACUGAGACACGGCCCAGACUCCUACGGGAGGCAGCAGUAGGGAAUCUUCCGCAAUGGACGAAAGUCUGACGGAGCAACGCCGCGUGAGUGAUGAAGGUUUUCGGAUCGUAAAGCUCUGUUGUUAGGGAAGAACAAGUACCGUUCGAAUAGGGCGGUACCUUGACGGUACCUAACCAGAAAGCCACGGCUAACUACGUGCCAGCAGCCGCGGUAAUACGUAGGUGGCAAGCGUUGUCCGGAAUUAUUGGGCGUAAAGGGCUCGCAGGCGGUUUCUUAAGUCUGAUGUGAAAGCCCCCGGCUCAACCGGGGAGGGUCAUUGGAAACUGGGGAACUUGAGUGCAGAAGAGGAGAGUGGAAUUCCACGUGUAGCGGUGAAAUGCGUAGAGAUGUGGAGGAACACCAGUGGCGAAGGCGACUCUCUGGUCUGUAACUGACGCUGAGGAGCGAAAGCGUGGGGAGCGAACAGGAUUAGAUACCCUGGUAGUCCACGCCGUAAACGAUGAGUGCUAAGUGUUAGGGGGUUUC
rnacentral:rRNA from 1 species